rnacentral:rRNA from 1 species
GUCCUCUUGUUUAUAUAUGAGGUCUGACCUGCCCAGUGAAAUAAAUUUUUAACGGCCGCGGUAUUUUGACCGUGCAAAGGUAGCAUAAUCAUUAGUCUUUUAAUAGGAGGCUGGUAUGAAGGGUUUGACGAAUUGUUAACUGUCUCAUUUAAUUUGAAAUUAAAAUUUAACUUUUCAGUUAAAAGGCUGAAAUUAAUUUGGAAGACGAGAAGACCCUAUAGAGCUUUAUAAACAAAUAUUUUUAUUUAAAUUUUUGUUGAAUUAUAUUUAUUUAUUAUUUUGUUUAUUUUGUUGGGGUGACAAAAAUAUAUAAUUAACUUUUUUAUUUACAUAACAUUGAUUUAUGAAUUUUAGAUCCAGUUUUACUGAUUGUUAGAUUAAGUUACC